rnacentral:tRNA from 1 species
AAAAGUAUAGCUCAGAGGUAGAGCACUUGCCUAGCAAGUAGGAGGCCCUGGGUUCAAUCUCUAGUACUGCAA